rnacentral:rRNA from 1 species
UACGUAGGGGGCAAGCGUUGUCCGGAUUUAUUGGGCGUAAAGAGCGUGUAGGCGGUUAGGUAGGUCCGUUGUGAAAACUCGAGGCUCAACCUCGAGACGCCGAUGGAAACCAUCUGACUAGAGUCCGGAAGAGGAGAGUAGAAUUCCUGGUGUAGCGGUGAAAUGCGCAGAUAUCAGGAAGAACACCCGUGGCUAAGGCGGCUCUCUAGUACGGUACUGACGCUGAGACGCGAAAGCGUGGGGAGCGAACAGG